GAGGUUACUGCUAUCGAGGUUCCACUAAGCCAUGCGAGUCCAAUGUAGCAAUACAUGGCGAACUGCUCAGUAACACGUGGACAACCUGCCCUUAGGACGGGGAUAAACCCGGGAAACUGGGUAUAAUACCCGAUAGGUCUCGAUUGCUGGAAUGCAUCGAGAUUUAAAGCUCCGGCGCCUAAGGAUGGGUCUGCGGCCUAUCAGGUAGUAGUGGGUGUAGCCGUACCUACUAGCCUACGACGGGUACGGGUUGUGAGAGCAAGAGCCCGGAGAUGGAUUCUGAGACACGAAUCCAGGCCCUACGGGGUGCAGCAGGCGCGAAAACUUUACAAUGCUGGCAACAGCGAUAAGGGAACCUCGAGUGCCAGGUUACAAAUCUGGCUGUCGAGAUGCCUAAAAAGCAUUUCAUAGCAAGGGCCGGGCCAAGACCGGUGCCAGCCGCCGCGGUAACACCGGCGGCUCGAGUGGUAACCGUUAUUAUUGGGUCUAAAGGGUCUGUAGCCGGCCGGAUAAGUCUCUUGAGAAAUCUGGCAGCUUAACUGUCAGGCUUUCAGGAGAUACUGUCUGGCUCGAGGCCGGGAGAGGUGAGAGGUACUUCAGGGGUAGGGGUGAAAUCUUGUAAUCCUUGAAGGACCACCAGUGGCGAAGGCGUCUCACCAGAACGGACCUGACGGCAAGGGACGAAAGCUAGGGGCACGAACCGGAUUAGAUACCCGGGUAGUCCUAGCCGUAAACGAUACUCGCUAGGUGUCGGCCACGGUGCGACCGUUGUCGGUGCCGUAGGGAAGCCGUGAAGCCACCCACCUGGGAAGUACGGCCGCAAGGCUGAAACUUAAAGGAAUUGGCGGGGGAGCACCACAACGGGUGGAGCUUGCGGUUU
rnacentral:rRNA from 1 species